UAGGGAAUCUUCGGCAAUGGACGGAAGUCUGACCGAGCAACGCCGCGUGAGUGAAGAAGGUUUUCGGAUCGUAAAGCUCUGUUGUAAGAGAAGAACGAGUGUGAGAGUGGAAAGUUCACACUGUGACGGUAUCUUACCAGAAAGGGACGGCUAACUACGUGCCAGCAGCCGCGGUAAUACGUAGGUCCCGAGCGUUGUCCGGAUUUAUUGGGCGUAAAGCGAGCGCAGGCGGUUAGAUAAGUCUGAAGUUAAAGGCUGUGGCUUAACCAUAGUACGCUUUGGAAACUGUUUAACUUGAGUGCAAGAGGGGAGAGUGGAAUUCCAUGUGUAGCGGUGAAAUGCGUAGAUAUAUGGAGGAACACCGGUGGCGAAAGCGGCUCUCUGGUCUGUAACUGACGCUGAGGCUCGAAAGCGUGGGGAGCGAACAGGAUUAGAUACCCUGGUAGUCCACGCCGUAAACGAUGAGUGCUAGGUGUUGGGUCCUUUCCGGGAUUCAGUGCCGCAGCUAACGCAUUAAGCACUCCGCCUGGGGAGUACGACCGCAAGGUUG
rnacentral:rRNA from 1 species